UGUGGGGGAAGUCCAUUUUAAAAAAUAAUAUUAAAAUAUGAAUCAAUUGGAAAUGCCUCAUAGAGUAACCUGUGGUUUUAUUUUACCCACAGGACUAUGGUUAAAUAUGUGCGAAAGAACUACAAGACAGUU
ensembl:snoRNA